rnacentral:rRNA from 1 species
AGAGGUGCCAGGGCUGUCGCUGACCCCCCCUUUUCNAGGNNGUGCACGCCCGGGGCAUCCUCACACAAUCCCAUCACACACCCCCCUUUGUGCAUCAUCGCGUGGGCUCCUCUGGGUCGCUUCGAUCCAAGCGGGGCUUGCGCUUUUUACACAAACGUGCGGUAUAGAAUGUCCUAGCGAUUGUACGCAAUCAAUACAACUUUCAACAACGGAUCUCUUGGCUCUCGCAUCGAUGAAGAACGCAGCGAAAUGCGAUACGUAAUGUGAAUUGCAGAAUUCAGUGAAUCAUCGAAUCUUUGAACGCACCUUGCGCCCCUUGGCAUUCCGAGGGGCACACCCGUUUGAGUGUCGUGAAUUCCUCAACCUUCUGCUUUCCUUGAUAGCAGGAGGCUUGGACUUUGGAGGUUCUUGCCGGCCUCUCUUCAGAAGCCAGCUCCUCUUAAAUGAAUUAGCAGGGUCUGCCUUUGGCCGAUCCUCGACGUGAUAAGCUGCUUCUACGUCUUGGAUUUGGCUCUGCCUCUUUUUUGAGACCUGCUUCUAAUCGUCUCGGUCGCCCUUUCUUUGUCAGAAAGAGGGGGGGGNG